rnacentral:rRNA from 1 species
UACGAGGGGGGCUAGCGUUGCUCGGAAUCACUGGGCGUAAAGCGCACGUAGGCGGACUCUUAAGUCGGUGGUGAAAUCCUGGAGCUCAACUCCAGAACUGCCUUUGAUACUGAGGAUCUUGAGUUCGGGAGAGGUGAGUGGAACUGCGAGUGUAGAGGUGAAAUUCGUAGAUAUUCGCAAGAACACCAGUGGCGAAGGCGGCUCACUGGCC